rnacentral:rRNA from 1 species
UACGUAGGGCGCAAGCGUUGUCCGGAAUUAUUGGGCGUAAAGAGCUCGUAGGCGGUUUGUCGCGUCUGCUGUGAAAACCCGAGGCUCAACCCCGGGCUUGCAGUGGGUACGGGCAGACUAGAGUGCGGUAGGGGAGACUGGAAUUCCUGGUGUAGCGGUGGAAUGCGCAGAUAUCAGGAGGAACACCGGUGGCGAAGGCGGGUCUCUGGGCCGUAACUGACGCUGAGGAGCGAAAGCAUGGGGAGCGAACAGG